AGCAUACAGACAUCAAGCAAAAGAAAUAAACACCCCCAAAUUGCAGGAAGAAACAGCUGGCAGAAUUGUGGAAAGUUUUGUAAUUCUGGCAAAGACAUAAUGAUGGCCCACAUUCUACUAUCAGAAACCUGGGAGUGCUGCCUUAUAUGGCAAAAGAACUUUACAGGAUGCGAUUCUAUCAAGGAUCUUGAGAAGAAAUCGUCUGGUGUUAUCUAUCCAUGUGGGCCCUAAAUGUAAUGACAAGAAUCCUUAAAAUAAGACUGAGAGGGGGAAGGAGGAAGUAAGAUGUGAGACUGGAUACCAGAGGACUCAGCUAUGGAAUGCAGAUAGCCUCAGAGCUAGAAAAGAAAAGCCCCUGCCAAUACCUUGCCUGAAGGCUGAUAAAGCAGACCCUGCAUUUUCAUCCUCCAGAAGUGUAAGAGAAUACAUUUAUGUUGUUAAAAGC